CCCACACAUAAUGAUAAACACCUUUAUUAUUUCACAGACAAAAAUAACCAUUAACCAAUAAAAAAAUGAAAAACUAACUUGUUAUGAAACUCAAUUCUUGGGGUAUUAGGCAUGACCCAAAUAACAUUGGGCAUAACCUUUCUUAUCGCUUUUGUAUAUCUUGAGAUAGUGUCAAUGUCCCAAUUACAGUAAACAAUAAAUCUUGGCCCUCAAAAGAUAUGUUUUCAGCUUCCGUGAACUUUUUGUGAUCAUCUGUGUAUAAUAUGCGAUUCUUCUUGAUAAUUACCCCCAAAUAGAGAAGAAACGUAGAAAUACUUUGUUUUCAUUUCAUGCCAUAAUUAACGGUCAUGUGAUUGAAAUUGGAACGAAAAUGGAAGGAACUCUUUAAGUAGUCCGCAUCACUUCAACGAGAUCAAAUUGGUCCUUUUUUGUGCCAUUUCGGACCGUAGAACUGUUGACCGAUGCCCAGCCCAAAUCAAAAGUGUUCAAUGGCUAGCCGAUAUUUAUAUUCUUAAGUACUUUCUAGGGAACAGAACAGCUAAGGGGUAAAAAUGUCCAUGACUGUUUGAUUGAUAUGAUCAAAACAGCACAUGAAUGAUCUUAAAUCUUGACGUAAAUGACAAAAACCAAUUUCCAAGCAUAUGACACAAAAUGUAAAUGCAAACACCAUAAGAACUCCUCAAAUUACAAAAAGCCAACACCACAGCACCAACAAAUUAGGUUGAGAAGAUAUUGUUUGAGGCAUCACUUCUUCAGCACACUGCAAAUCAAAAAUACUUUGUUGGAUAAGCUUCCCAAAUCCCACUUACAAACUAAAAUAAAAAUAAUAAAUAGUAAAUAUGUCACCAAAAGUUUAAACCAAGCAGCAACGAAAUAUGAAGAUAUGUUAACAAGCAAUGCCAUUGAAACUUGAGGUUUGGUAAAUCGUGAAGGAUCUAGGCAAAGGGAAUUUGAUGAUGCAGCACUAAGAGUCCCCUUACAUCUGAACAAUAAAAAGUUCAAGGUUCUCUCAUUAGUUUUGAGUUCCCUUUUACUUAUAAAACUAAUGAACAAAGUCAGAUUCCAACAUCACGAAUCUGAGUGCCCAAAAAGAAAUCCCAACCUUCCUAUUCUUAUAUUUAAUGCUUUCCUAUUGUUCAACAUGCAAGGACCUACUACACUUUUAAAUAUUGAAAUUAGCCAGAAUCCAUCAAGCCAACUUCUCAAAAGCCAUUUCCAAAACUAGCAAUUAUAGUGAUACUAAGUUUGGUUCAUUCUAGAUUUAUCAUGAACUUUUAGCUUUGCGCCAAUUCCUUUGUCUAGACACCCAUGAUGAGACUACUGAACAAACACAGAAAGUUUGCUGAAACAUAAAUAGAAACUAGCACACUCAUUUUGCAUAUGAACAAUAGAGGUAUAUUUUAGCCAUUCAUGAGAAUAAUUGAAACUUACUUGUAUAAAUAGGCAGCAAUCCCCAGAAUUAUGCACAACAAAAUAAUAUCAAUGCAGAAGUUUCUGCUAGAUCUUAACUGUAAUAGAACAAAAAUACUUAUUAGAUCUGGCUGAAUGAAUGGAAAACUAAAUCUUGUAAAGUUUCACUCCAUCACCUGGUUAACAGUGUCUUUGAGUCUAACAUUGGUAUUUUUAAGGUCAGCUGUUGCUUUAUCCACCUUUGUGUCAAUUUCAUCCAUCAAAGGAACUUGCCUAUCCAACUCCUCAUUCAUGUCAUGGGCCAUGUUUUUCAGAGUAUCCAAACCUUCUGAAAUCAUAUCCAAACCUUGAUCCUGUGGGAAUGUGAGGAUAGACAGUUAGCAGAACCAUUGUACCAUACUUAAGAACUCGGACAACCAACACGCAAAAGAGCUUCCCAGUAGCAUGAAGCCUAAACAAAAUGCAACUGUACAUGAAACUUUCCUGCUUCAUUCUACGCAUUUCAUAAUCCUGCCUGAAUUGACUAGAUGUCUCACUUUCUUGAAAGUAUUCACUAUCAAAACGACCAUCUGAAUCAAAUUUGAUUUCAGCACGGGGUGCUGAAGCCCCCCAACCUCCAGUUUGUUUGGGAGCAGAUGCAGUUCCAUCAGGUAUCGCUUGAAUCCUAUCUGGUAAUGCAAGGACCAAAUCAUUACGGGCAGCAAGCUCUUCUGUUGAGAGCCCUUUAACCUUCUUUAUAGCCAAUCUCUGCAACUUAGGGACCUCCUCUAGCAAUUUUGCCUUCGUUCGACGAAUCUCCGCGUUCAGAGCAACUGCAGAUGCCUUCUUUUUGUCUUUCGAAGCAAGCUCCGCUUUCUGAAGGGCUGCUUCGAUAUCAGCCUCAACGACGGCGUAGAGGCGAGCAAAAGCAUCGUCGCCGAAGACAUUGAGAUCUUUUUGCUUUUCGACGCCGUAUCUGUCGUACUUCUUGCAGAUCGCAUCAACUCUAGUUAAAAUGUCGAUCACGCUCAUGUUGUAGCGGGUGGACUCAGUGAAUGGGUGUAAGAUUUAGCUAAUGAAGAGGGAAUUGGAGAGGAAAUACAAAGGAUUUGGCUCCAAUUUCUUGGAGGUGUAAAGCACGUAGCAUUUCAACCACCAAAGAACGACCAGCCAGCGGCCUGUAACUGCUAGCAACCAAUAACUUUCUUU
rnacentral:misc_RNA from 1 species